GGGCGGUUAGCUCAGUGGUAGAGCAUCUCGUUUACACCGAGAGGGUCGGGGGUUCGAAACCCUCACCGCCCA
rnacentral:tRNA from 4 species